UACGGAGGGGGCUAGCGUUGUUCGGAAUUACUGGGCAUAAAGCGCACGUAGGCGGCUUUGCAAGUCAGAGGUGAAAGCCCGGGGCUCAACCCCGGAAUAGCCUUUGAGACUGCAUCGCUAGAAUUGUGGAGAGGUAAGUGGAAUUCCGAGUGUAGAGGUGAAAUUCGUGGAUAUUCGGAAGAACACCAGUGGCGAAGGCGACUUACUGGACACAUAUUGACGCUGAGGUGCGAAAGCGUGGGGAGCAAACAGG
rnacentral:rRNA from 1 species